rnacentral:lncRNA from 1 species
UUCAAACCAAAAAUUCAUAACAAGGGUUCAUCACAUUUUAGCAAUACAAAAAAAAAAAAAAAAAAAAAAAAAUUAGCCAAGCAUAUUGUUGGAAUUAAAUAGAUAACAGAUAGAAGACAUCACCAAAAACCGACAAAACGUAAUUAAUUUCCCAAUGCCUUCCAAACUUCCCCUUCAAUCUGCUUCAGUUCCUAAUUAAUUCCAGCCACAAUGCUUGACUUCUCCAAGCUGUUGCCACCUAUUUUCUUUUCUAUUUUCUGCGCUUUUCUUUUAUGUUUUUCUCCAGCCAACUCCCGACUUUAUUUGCAGCAACCAACUGAAAUUUUUUACUCCAAAACAACUCCCCAAAUUAGCCAAAAUUGCUCUCAAUUUCUGCAAUUUUCUCCACAAGCUGUCGCUUUGCAUGUGUAUAGAUAUAUCCUCUCAAUUCUUCAUACAACCGCCGACCAAGCUUAUUUGCACCAGCCGCUGUUUAUGCUUCAAUUUCUGUCCCCCCAACCGUUCGUUUUCUGUUGGCGUUUAUAUAUAAUUUCUACAGCAGCCCACUUUUUUGUAUUCCAAUUCCCAGCAGCUCGACUUUUGUUUUGUGCCCAAUCUAAUAAUG